AUGAAAGGAAUCGAGCAACUUAGCACCACUGAGGAUCUAAUCAGUUUCAUUGACCUUUGGCACUGGAUACAAGGGGUUAACCUCUCGGAUCAACCGGAUGACAUUGAGUGGAAAUGGAAUGACAACAAAUCAUACACUGCUGUCACUGCUUAUGAUGCCCAAUUCAUCGGAACCAUUGCGAAGCCUGAGUUGAAUGCCCUUUGGAAAGCAAAGGUGGAGGGAAAGAUCAAAUUCUUUGGUUGGCUUCUGUCUCAAAAUAGACUGCCAACUGCUGACCGUCUUCGCGCGAGAGGAUGUGAACACAACGACACCUGCUCCCUUUGCGACCAAACGAUUGAGACUGCCGCUCAUCUGAUCUGUGGCUGCCCAUUUGCAAAGGAAGUGUGGCAGAAGAUCAACACCAUGCUGCCUAACUUUCAACUUCAAGCAACCUUGCCGUUCACCUCCAUCGCAACCUGGUGGAGCAGUUUUGCCUAUGGGCAGCAGAAAAAGGCAGCAGCUGCGCUAUACUUUGCCUGGAAUAUUUGGAAUGAGCGAAACCGAAGAAUAUUUCAAAACCUGUCUUCAAUUGCUGAUAUGGUGGCUUGCUUAGCCAGGUCUGACUUAGCAUACUUGGACAUGGCCAACGUGAGGCCUUAG
rnacentral:rRNA from 1 species